CAUUCAAGACUAUUUAGUAAAUCACGAACACUUCGGCUACGUUAACUUUCCAAUGAAAUGCAUCACAAUUGUUUUUAAUGUUAAACAAAUAAGAAUUGAUGCACAUUUGAUACUCUGACACUCUGAUUGUCCUCUAAUUCGGUAGGUGGCGUUGUCACUAAAAACCUAGGGUCCUAGAAAUGCGUUCCUAGGAUUGCGGUCCUGAAAAUGCAGCCUCCGGUUUUGCAGGCAGAUGCUACUCACACUGCCUGGUUUCGGUAUCUGCAGUUCUGAAAUCCCUGCGUGGCUCGCCUUGAUGACGUCAUCACUCGCGCGAGCUCAGCCAGCGUAGGAGCUGUAUCCCUUCUAGCCACAACACAACAGCCAGCGUCGAGUCUCGUGAGGAGAGCAGUUUGCGGUCCUUCACGUGUUUACAUUAUUGUAAAACACACUUAACCGUUCAUUUAAGCGACAGUCAAAGAGGUUCAAAUCAGAUUUCCUAUAAAUGCUGGAAUAUAUGCAUCAACCUACAAGUGAAGACGAGCAUCAAAGCAUCAGGAAGAAGUGAAAUCUGCAGAGACAGAGUUUAUUGAAGGACAGAGAGAACAUGAGAGAUCCAGAACCCUGCAGAAUCAAACACACUGAAGAACAAACAGAGUUGAUUGUAGAAAAUGAGGAGAAUGAUGAACU